AUGGAGCUUGAUCGCUGGAAAGAUUAUCUCGGAGACGCGGUGGUGCCUGGACUCCCGAGUGGUCAACCGAUCAAAGAUUGUCUCCCUCUCACAGUAUCUAACCAUACAGUAGACAGUAUCAUGAUAACAUCCCAGGUCUCAAUAGUCACUAGUUCCAAAAGGUCACUAUCUUGGUCUGCUGGCACAGGUCAUUUUCGUGGUAGUUGCUCGCCUACUGCGCACUACUCUUCCUUAUUCAAAACAAAACUAGGUGUGGAUGUUAACAUAAAUAUUUUCAUAAGAAGCUUGACAUAUAGUACCAAUUAA
rnacentral:rRNA from 1 species